rnacentral:rRNA from 1 species
AAAUGUUGGGUUAAGUCCCGCAACGAGCGCAACCCUUAUCCUUUGUUGCCAGCGGUUAGGCCGGGAACUCAAAGGAGACUGCCAGUGAUAAACUGGAGGAAGGUGGGGAUGACGUCAAGUCAUCAUGGCCCUUACGACCAGGGCUACACACGUGCUACAAUGGCAUAUACAAAGAGAAGCGACCUCGCGAGAGCAAGCGGACCUCAUAAAGUAUGUCGUAGUCCGGAUUGGAGUCUGCAACUCGACUCCAUGAAGUCGGAAUCGCUAGUAAUCGUAGAUCAGAAUGCUACGGUGAAUACGUUCCCGGCCUUGUACACACCGCCCGUCACACCAUGGGAGUGGGUUGCAAAAGAAGUAGGUAGCUUAACCUUCGGGAGGGCGCUUACCACUUUGUGAUCAUGACUGGGGUGAAGUCGUAACAAGGUAACCGUAGGGGAACCUGCGGUUGGAUCACCUCCUUACCUUAAAGAA